GUGCCCCUUUUAUUGGUAACCGGGUGAUGGAGCAGAUCAAGGAAUAAACUGUUGAGAACAUCAGAAGUCCUCAAACAGAAUGAACGGCGUAAGUUUUAAUAUAGUCACAACAAUUUCUUUCUCCCUCAUAGAACUUCUCUUCUCUUCAUCAUCUCCUCUCCCAGUUUUUUUUUUUUUUUUUUUUUUUAUCUCUUUUCAUCUUCAUCUCCCUCAUAGAACAAUAGUUUACUCACACUCAUAGCCACCACUUCCAGCCACCACAUGAGGAUGAACCGUAAGAUUAUUUUCCUCUCUCAAAAUCAAAAUCUGGAAAUCAUUUGCAUCUCCAUAUGUUGGUUUCAACUCAUGGUAACAUAUUGAAUUUGCACCUGUUCCAUUCGAUGCCUGUUCCUCCUUUUUUUUAAUCGUUCCAUCAGCAUGCUUCUUUUAAAAUAUUGCACUCAUAACUUUUCUGUUUUUAUCUUUGUUCACAGCUUCAUUGGAUCUAAAUCCAAUCACUGAUUUUGAUAAGUUCGUGAGGUUUUCCAUAUGUUUGCAAUUCUGAUGCAAAUUUUUAAAUUUUGGCUCACACAUAAACUAUCAUCUAAUAGUGGAAUGUGACGUUGAAGCCCUAUUUGUGUUGAAUUGCUUGAAAGAUCCUGCUUAUAUGUAGCUCUUAAGGCUUAAGUGGCGUACCUAUCAUGUCGAGUACAGUCGAGAUGAGGAGUUGAUUCCGAUAACAAGGACAAAGUUGGUGUAGCCGAUUCAGAUGUAACACCGAUUAGCAAGUCUUUGGAUGACAUUGAUGUAGGUGGGUUGUGAAGCAUUGAGCACAAAAGAACCAAAAUUGGUGUCUGCUUCAAAGGUAGAUGCAGUUGCUCCAGUUGUGACUUCGAACACUCCAAACUCCUUGGGAAAGAGAGCAGCUGAGAAUGUGGUUUCAGUUGUUGAUGUCGCUGAAUUUGAUGGAUCCACACCAAAAGAGCCAAAACUGGUUCGGUGUGAAGAUCGAAGCUGAGGAGUGAAGUCUUUUGCAAAAUUUUCAACUACCAGUAGUGUUGCUGAUGUCCAAGUCUGUUGUCCUUUCAUUCUGUUUUGUUUUGGUUUUUAAUUGUCGCGUUGAAAUCUUCGGUUGCAUUUUGUUGCCAUACUUAUUUCGUUUUUAUGUUUGACAUUCUG
rnacentral:lncRNA from 1 species